CUGAUCUGCUUCUAGUCGGCGAAUAACUGGAAUUAACGGAGCAGGUUUAGUGUGCACGUGAGAUACUCAGGACCUUUCCACCCGUCCCACCCGACGGCGGGGACAGUCACACAGUCACGUGCCGGGUGGGUCCCAGGGGGUCGCACUUCGCUGGAGCUGGUCCCGAGCCGCUGGCAGUGAAGUGAUGGGGAAAGCGCGGGACCGGAAGGAGGGACGCGGGGCUCCAGGACUUCAGCACUUUCAGGCUAAUACUGGAUGCACACGAAAUCACAUGUUGGGCAAAUAUAUAGAUUUCAUAAUGACAAAAAAAAAGAAGAAGAAAAGAAAAGAAGGAAUCAUGAGUCACCCGCGGAGGAUGCCAGGGAACUGUGAAAUAAUAAGAAAUAUGUCUUUGGUGUCUACACUGGCUUCCUGGCACAGAGCUCCUCAAACACUUGGAAUUUCUUGAGUGAUCCGGAAUGAAUGAGAGUUUAGAAGACCAAAUAUUUCAAACCAACCAGUGAAGCCCUUUGGUGCAGUUUUGACUCCAAAGCAGCCAGACUGUCUCCUGGUCUCCCAGGGCCAUACGCCACGGGGUCACUUUUCAAAUUAAGGUGAAGUCCAAGUGGAGGUGGAAAGGCAAGGUGUGAGGUCCUUCGACGGCAUCCCUGGUAGGUAACCAUCCACUCUCUAUAAACACCUCCAAUGGCAGGAAAUCUCAGCCACAUUUUAUGAAGCUUCACUGUCGUCUCACCAGGAACCAGUCUGCCCCAUUUCCCAGGACAGCACUUCAAGUCUUAGAGACGGUGUUCUCCUCCCCACCCCGAGUCAGUGAUUCCUACCUGGAGUCUAGGGAAAGUGAGGGGACAGCCAUCCUGUUGGACAAUAUCAGCUUCUUGGAGCAGCCUAGGCUAGGAGUUGGGGGCUUUUCCUGUGAUGCCGUGAUGCUCUGUUGAGGUGAAAAAUUUAUUUCAGUGGUUAGAAAGCAAGAACAUAUGCUAAAAUCUUUAAAAACGGUUUUAUUUUAUUUUAUUUUUUAAAGAGUUUUUGGUUUUGACGUCGUGGACCAUUUUUAAAGUCUUUAUUGAAUUUGUUACAAUAUUGCUUCUGUUUUAUGUUUUGGUUUUUUGGCCACAAGGCAUGCGGGAGCUUAGCUCCCCCAGUGCAGGGGGUGUGGGAUCGAACCCACAGCCCCCGCGUUGGAAGGCGAAGUCUUAACCACUGGACCACCAGGGAAGUCCCUAAAAAUGGUUUUAAAACCACUCUCUUAAGUUUUCUCUUCCCCAGGGUAAACAUUGCUUGCUCUUUGAAAUAUUGGUAAUACAGGUUUACAUAUUUUUUAAAAUAUAAUAAAUAAUGAAGUAUAAAUUAUAUAUAAUAAAUUACAUGUAUAUUAUAUUAAAAUAUGUGUGUAUAUUAUUAGAAAAGAGUAGCCUAACCCACACUCACUUUUAGGACAAGACCUAGCAACUGUACACAUCACUUGUACUCACAUCUCAUUGGCUGGAGCGUUGCCACGUGGCUGCACCUGCUGUCAGGGAGCUGGGAGAGGUAGUGUGUGUCUGGGGACCCAGGUGCCGGGGUAAAACUUUCCCUACUCUGGAAGGAGGGAAGAAGGCAGCGUGGGGGGCUCUUGGCAUCUCUGCCACGAUAACUCUAAAUAGAAGCUAUGCGACCACGUAGCAUAAUGACAGCGUGUCCUGGUUUUGUCACCAGGCCAGCGGUGAGGCUGCGUGAGGAUCACGGGAGUGGAGACACACAGAACGGAGCCAGUAUUCAGUUCAGGAGUCACAGGAUUUAGUGCACAUGAUGAGCACACAGCACAGCUUAGUAAGAGGAGGGAAAACAGAGAAAGGGUACCGACCUCCCCAAGGAGAAGUCCGGAAGGAGGCGGCUCAGCACCAGCAGGGUCCCUGGUUGGUGAUGGUUUCAGGACACCUGUGAGCGGGACUCGCCCUUGGCUGGGACAGGACCUCGGGCAGCGCCUGGACGUUCAGCAGUGUCAGGUCGGGUCCUCCAGCCGAGAGCCUUCGGUGUCUGACUCUGGGGGGUCUGCCUGGAGGUAGGCAGGUGCUGCCCCAGGGCCUCUCAUCUCCAGCAGUUACU